GAUGAACGCUGGCGGCGUGCCUAAUACAUGCAAGUCGAGCGAACGGACGAGAAGCUUGCUUCUCUGAUGUUAGCGGCGGACGGGUGAGUAACACGUGGAUAACCUACCUAUAAGACUGGGAUAACUUCGGGAAACCGGAGCUAAUACCGGAUAAUAUUUUGAACCGCAUGGUUCAAAAGUGAAAGACGGUCUUGCUGUCACUUAUAGAUGGAUCCGCGCUGCAUUAGCUAGUUGGUAAGGUAACGGCUUACCAAGGCAACGAUGCAUAGCCGACCUGAGAGGGUGAUCGGCCACACUGGAACUGAGACACGGUCCAGACUCCUACGGGAGGCAGCAGUAGGGAAUCUUCCGCAAUGGUCGAAAGCCUGACGGAGCAACGCCGCGGGAGUGAUGAAGGUCUUCGGAUCGUAAAACUCUUUUAUUAGGGAAGAACAUAUGUGUAAGUAACUGUGCACAUCUUGACGGUACCUAAUCAGAAAGCCACGGCUAACUAC
rnacentral:rRNA from 1 species